GAUAACCAAAAAUACGUAGAGGAUUGAGAGUAGGAGCGCUAACUACACGCACACCACCCAAAGCCGGAUCAUAUAACCCAUCGAGUAGCACCGCUUUGAUUACCAGCAACAAAGCCCCCAAGCCCAACAAAACCAGGUGAAUCCCCAGAAUCGUCGUCAUUUUGCGACCAUCUUGCCA
rnacentral:antisense_RNA from 1 species